rnacentral:rRNA from 1 species
GCUUACGGCCACACCGCCUGGUAUACGCUUUGAUCUCGGAAGCUAAGAUAGGUUGGGCCUGGUUAGUACUUGGAUGGGAGACCGCCUGGGAAUACCAGGUGCUGUAAGCU